UUUACAACGGUAGAAGAGGAAACGACCACAACACGAACUACAACUGAGAUGUCUGCAACGGUAUCAGAUGAAGCGACCACCACAGGUACGACGGCUGAGAUGUCAACAACGGUACCAGAUGAAGCGACCACCACGGCAACCGAGACUCGGAUGUCAGCAAUAGUACCAGAUGAAGCGACAGCCACGGCAACUAUGCUUACGAUGUCUAAAACGACGACGAGUACCAACACGGCAGCUGGUCAAAUUUCAGGCUGUCAUAUAAAUUUCGACAUGGCUAACGCAUUUCGAGGUCAAUAUGGUGGCAUCAGAGAAAUUCAACCAGAUAUUUCAAACCCGUCUUUCCAAGUCAAGUGUACACCAAUAGUAGGGUUAAUACCCAUGGGGACACUAGCCACCGUCAUACAGCAGAACUUGGAGCAAGAUCAGGAGUUUUUUGACAGAGAUGUUCAAGAGUUCAAGGACGGAUUCGGUGAUGUAGCGGGCGAUCAUUUCAUUGGCUUAGAUAAGAUACAUAUGUUGACGUCAUCAUCAGCUUACGACAUGAUAAUGGCUAUGGUGAACAUACAUGGUUCAGAUUUAGAUCUCGAAGAAUACAUAUACAUGAGAUAUUUCAACUUUCAAAUAAGCGAUUUUUCAAAAAAGUACAAAAUGUCCUAUUCGUCAUCAAAGGCAAUUAAGGCAUUGUUUUACGAUUAUUACGAUCAGUUAGAAUACCUGAACGGUACCAGUUUUUCUACCAAAGAUGAGGAUAAUGACGGAAUAAAUUCUAUUAACUGUGCUGAAGUAAAUAGUCACGGGUUUUGGUAUAAUUCCGCUUGCAAUGGUUGUGAUCUAACAGCCUCGCAUUGUUACCUGGAUGACCUAGUCAUUGUUGCAAUGGCGUUAAUACCGCACACCACAAAGUAAUAUUCCUUUAAUAUCGCACACCACAAAGUAAUAAACAUCGAUUUCAAGGAUAACCAACCGCUUCUUCAAUA